CUGUGUGUUGUUGGGUAGGGGAGCGUUCUGUAAGCCUGUGAAGGUGUGUCGUGAGGCAUGCUGGAGGUAUCAGAAGUGCGAAUGCUGACAUAAGUAACGAUAAAGCGGGUGAAAAGCCCGCUCGCCGGAAGACCAAGGGUUCCUGUCCAACGUUAAUCGGGGCAGGGUGAGUCGACCCCUAAGGCGAGGCCGAAAGGCGUAGUCGAUGGGAAACGGGUUAAUAUUCCCGUACUUGGUGUUACUGCGAAGGGGGGACGGAGAAGGCUAUGUUGGCCGGGCGACGGUUGUCCCGGUUUAAGCGUGUAGGUGUGUGUUCCAGGUAAAUCCGGUUCACUUUAACACUGAGGCGUGACGACGAGGCACUACGGUGCUGAAGCAACAAAUGCCCUGCUUCCAGGAAAAGCCUCUAAGCAUCAGGUAACAUCAAAUCGUACCCCAAACCGACACAGGUGGUCAGGUAGAGAAUACCAAGGCGCUUGAGAGAACUCGGGUGAAGGAACUAGGCAAAAUGGUGCCGUAACUUCGGGAGAAGGCACGCUGACACGUAGGUGAAGUGAUUUACUCAUGGAGCUGAAGUCAGUCGAAGAUACCAGCUGGCUGCAACUGUUUAUUAAAAACACAGCACUGUGCAAACACGAAAGUGGACGUAUACGGUGUGACGCCUGCCCGGUGCCGGAAGGUUAAUUGAUGGGGUCAGCGCAAGCGAAGCUCCUGAUCGAAGCCCCGGUAAACGGCGGCCGUAACUAUAACGGUCCUAAGGUAGCGAAAUUCCUUGUCGGGUAAGUUCCGACCUGCACGAAUGGCGUAAUGAUGGCCAGGCUGUCUCCACCCGAGACUCAGUGAAAUUGAACUCGCUGUGAAGAUGCAGUGUACCCGCGGCAAGACGGAAAGACCCCGUGAACCUUUACUAUAGCUUGACACUGAACAUUGAGCCUUGAUGUGUAGGAUAGGUGGGAGGCUUUGAAGUGUGGACGCCAGUCUGCAUGGAGCCGACCUUGAAAUACCACCCUUUAAUGUUUGAUGUUCUAACGUGGACCCGUUACCCGGGUUGCGGACAGUGUCUGGUGGGUAGUUUGACUGGGGCGGUCUCCUCCUAAAGAGUAACGGAGGAGCACGAAGGUUGGCUAAUCCUGGUCGGACAUCAGGAGGUUAGUGCAAUGGCAUAAGCCAGCUUGACUGCGAGCGUGACGGCGCGAGCAGGUGCGAAAGCAGGUCAUAGUGAUCCGGUGGUUCUGAAUGGAAGGGCCAUCGCUCAACGGAUAAAAGGUACUCCGGGGAUAACAGGCUGAUACCGCCCAAGAGUUCAUAUCGACGGCGGUGUUUGGCACCUCGAUGUCGGCUCAUCACAUCCUGG
rnacentral:rRNA from 1 species